AUUGAACGCUGGCGGCAGGCCUAACACAUGCAAGUCGAGCGGUAGCACAGAGAGCUUGCUCUCGGGUGACGAGCGGCGGACGGGUGAGUAAUGUCUGGGAAACUGCCUGAUGGAGGGGGAUAACUACUGGAAACGGUAGCUAAUACCGCAUAACGUCGCAAGACCAAAGUGGGGGACCUUCGGGCCUCAUGCCAUCAGAUGUGCCCAGAUGGGAUUAGCUAGUAGGUGGGGUAACGGCUCACCUAGGCGACGAUCCCUAGCUGGUCUGAGAGGAUGACCAGCCACACUGGAACUGAGACACGGUCCAGACUCCUACGGGAGGCAGCAGUGGGGAAUAUUGCACAAUGGGCGCAAGCCUGAUGCAGCCAUGCCGCGUGUGUGAAGAAGGCCUUCGGGUUGUAAAGCACUUUCAGCGGGGAGGAAGGCGGUGAGGUUAAUAACCUCAUCGAUUGACGUUACCCGCAGAAGAAGCACCGGCUAACUCCGUGCCAGCAGCCGCGGUAAUACGGAGGGUGCAAGCGUUAAUCGGAAUUACUGGGCGUAAAGCGCACGCAGGCGGUCUGUCAAGUCGGACGUGAAAUCCCCGGGCUCAACCUGGGAACUGCAUUCGAAACUGGCAGGCUAGAGUCUUGUAGAGGGGGGUAGAAUUCCAGGUGUAGCGGUGAAAUGCGUAGAGAUCUGGAGGAAUACCGGUGGCGAAGGCGGCCCCCUGGACAAAGACUGACGCUCAGGUGCGAAAGCGUGGGGAGCAAACAGGAUUAGAUACCCUGGUAGUCCACGCCGUAAACGAUGUCGAUUUGGAGGUUGUGCCCUUGAGGCGUGGCUUCCGGAGCUAACGCGUUAAAUCGACCGCCUGGGGAGUACGGCCGCAAGGUUAAAACUCAAAUGAAUUGACGGGGGCCCGCACAAGCGGUGGAGCAUGUGGUUUAAUUCGAUGCAACGCGAAGAACCUUACCUGGUCUUGACAUCCACAGAACUUUCCAGAGAUGGAUUGGUGCCUUCGGGAACUGUGAGACAGGUGCUGCAUGGCUGUCGUCAGCUCGUGUUGUGAAAUGUUGGGUUAAGUCCCGCAACGAGCGCAACCCUUAUCCUUUGUUGCCAGCGGUUAGGCCGGGAACUCAAAGGAGACUGCCAGUGAUAAACUGGAGGAAGGUGGGGAUGACGUCAAGUCAUCAUGGCCCUUACGACCAGGGCUACACACGUGCUACAAUGGCAUAUACAAAGAGAAGCGACCUCGCGAGAGCAAGCGGACCUCAUAAAGUAUGUCGUAGUCCGGAUUGGAGUCCGCAACUCGACUCCAUGAAGUCGGAAUCGCUAGUAAUCGUAGAUCAGAAUGCUACGGUGAAUACGUUCCCGGGCCU
rnacentral:rRNA from 1 species